rnacentral:lncRNA from 1 species
CAUCUUAAUGCAGAACAAACUUUGAAACCACAGGCAGUGGGGGUGAGAAGGAAGGAGAGCAUUAAACCCAGCCAUGAGUGGGAUUGGCCUCCCCUCUCGUCAUCCCAUCUCCCUCCCAAGCUCAUUCCUCAUGAUUCAAGCUAAUCUCACAGGCUGCAGGGCCCAGAGUGUGCAACCCUGUGCCUUCCCCCUGAAGCUGGACCAGCAGUGAAUUCUGUUCCCCAAGGCUAGACACACAGGAAUGAGGUCAGACAGGACAUUCUUAAAAUCCAGGACAUCUUCAUCCUUCAGAAAAGAAGUGGUCGUGUGCAUCCCACCAAAGCUUUGAAGGAGGAAGUACUCGCUUACCAAUUCCUGAAGGGCUGCAGUAGGAGUGGAAUGUCACCAGUGGUGCAAGGGGAAAGGAUUUCUCUGGGAACUGUGACUGUCUUUACCAUGAAAUUAGUUGAAUGCUAUUACAUCAGCCUCAUGACUAAGGACAAAAGAAUCCAGACUGUCUACCAAAAUGUUUUACUAAUCUGUCCUCCCCUCAAGGAACACAUAGGUAAAGAAAAGGGCUUCCUUUUCCACCCAGUUUGCACCAACGUGUGUAAACUAUGGCUCUGUGUGGUUAAGCAGCUACUUGCAAGUGCAGCACAGAGCAGCUGAAACGGCACACAGUGGGGACAGCAGGAGGGGCUUUUGGCACUUUUCUUGUAUUUAGAAUAAAUUUUACAAGCCCACACUCCUGAGCCUUGAGAUCACAGGGAGCAGAGGCCACUCUGAGUGCCGGAGUGCCUUCUCGAAUGGUCCCAUCUGCACCAGCUGCCUGGAGACACCGCCUGCUACCUCCAUGCUAUUCCAGGCUAGCGUCUCCAGCACCCGCCCUCCUAGCAGCCUUACCGCUCUCCAGCCUCAGAGCUAAGCCUGACCCGGCUGCCAAUCUCCAAAAUAAAAUCAAUGUGUGACCUUAUUCACCAGAUGUACGGAAGAAACAAGCACAAACGAAGGCCAACUUUGAAGCCAAAAAGGGAAGAUGAGAAGUGGGAGAGAGAGAG